AUUGAACGCUGGCGGCAUGCCUUACACAUGCAAGUCGAACGGUAACGGGCCUUCGGGUGCCGACGAGUGGCGAACGGGUGAGUAAUACAUCGGAACGUGCCCGAUCGUGGGGGAUAACGAGGCGAAAGCUUUGCUAAUACCGCAUACGAUCUACGGAUGAAAGCAGGGGACCGCAAGGCCUUGCGCGGACGGAGCGGCCGAUGGCAGUGUAGGGAGUUGGUGGGAUAAAAGCUUACCAAGCCGACGAUCUGUAGCUGGGCUGAGAGGAUGAGCAGCCACACUGGAAGUGAGACACGGACCGGGCUCCUACGUGGAGCAGCGGUGGGGAAUGUUGGACAAUGGACUGAAGCUUGAUACAGCCAUGCCGCGUGGAGGAAGAAGAUCUUCGGAUUGGAGAGAGGUUUAGGCUGGGAGGAAGGGCAGUAAGUUAAUACAUUGCGGUCGUGAAGUGACCGACAGAAUAAGCACCGGCUAACUACGUG
rnacentral:rRNA from 1 species